UGGGGAAUUUUGGCAAUGGGCGAAAGCCUGAUCCAGCAAUGCCGCGUGUGUGAAGAAGGCCUUCGGGUUGUAAAGCACUUUUGUCCGGAAAGAAAUCCUCUGGGUUAAUACCUCGGGGGAUGACGGUACCGGAAGAAUAAGCACCGGCUAACUACGUGCCAGCAGCCGCGGUAAUACGUAGGGUGCAAGCGUUAAUCGGAAUUACUGGGCGUAAAGCGUGCGCAGGCGGUUUUGUAAGACGGAUGUGAAAUCCCCGGGCUUAACCUGGGAACUGCAUUCGUGACUGCAAGGCUAGAGUAUGGCAGAGGGGGGUAGAAUUCCACGUGUAGCAGUGAAAUGCGUAGAGAUGUGGAGGAAUACCGAUGGCGAAGGCAGCCCCCUGGGCCAAUACUGACGCUCAUGCACGAAAGCGUGGGGAGCAAACAGGAUUAGAUACCCUGGUAGUCCACGCCCUAAACGAUGUCAACUAGUUGUUGGGGAUUCAUUUCCUUAGUAACGUAGCUAACGCGUGAAGUUGACCGCCUGGGGAGUACGGUCGCAAGAUUAAAACU
rnacentral:rRNA from 1 species